CUCAAUUCCCUCCACUUGUCAAAAAUUAUACAACACCUACACCUCUUCUAGUGGGGGGUGGGUAAUGGUGUUGUGGAAAAAAAAAGAGUUUGAUGAAUGAUAAGAUAGAUUUUAUGAUUUGGAUAAAUGGGUCUUUAUUAGUACAAUAUUUCCUUGAAUUUUGGAUGAACAUGGAUGACAUUUAACAAAGACAAACUCUUUUUUUUUUUUUUUUUUGUGAUUUUCUUGCAUGCAGUAUCAAUCCACAUUAGUCAUCUAUUGCUAUUGGACUCUGUUUUCAACACUUACUAUAUUUUAGAGGGAGAGUAUUAAGUUUUUUCUGAUAAAGGUGGUGGCUAGACCAACUUGCAUGCGACCUCACUAUUCUAUCGGGUACCUGCUAAUAACAGGGGAUGGUUGUAAAGCACAUCUUUUGCGGUGCUUUUAAUAUUAAAUCUAGUAAGAGAAUCAGUAUGGAUGGAGUACGUACCUCAGAAAACAAAGCUGUUAAUGCUGGACCGAAGAAUAUCUCGUGCUCGGCUUCUGCUCAAGACCUGAGAUUGUUUGAGAUGGAUAGGGAGAAAUACGACGAUUCUUCUCCUAGAGGAGUUAUUGAGGCGAGCAUCAGAAACCAGGAGGGUGGCUCCAAUUUUCCUAAAGCAGAACCCUCAGGUUCUGAAAUCUGCUCGUCACAUCCACGGACAUCCUCGCGCUGGCACAAGUUCUUCAAAAUGUGGAAGAAAAGUUCUGUCAAAAGACUACCUUCAUUUCCACCCUUAGCUGUGCCAAGGAUAUCAACAAGGAAAAGCAGAAGUGCCAGGGAGAAUGUAGCAGCAGGUUUCUAUCACUUCAAAUCAUCCUGGAAGAACUUCAGCCUGUCUGAACUGAAAAAUGCUACCAACAAUUUUAGCAAAGAAAACUUGAUUGGCAAAGGAGGGUAUGCUGAAGUUUACAAGGGUUGUUUGCCUGAUGGUCAGCUUAUCGCGGUUAAGCGCCUCAAUAAAGGUACACCAGAGGAGCAGGAACAAAACUUCCUAUGUGAAAUAGGUACAAUAGCACAUGUAGACCAUCCUAAUACUGCAAGGAUGGUUGGUUAUGGAGUGGAAGGAGGGACAUACCUUAUACUUCAGUUAUCUUCUCUAGGGAGCUUAGGGUCAUUUCUUCGUGGCUCAAGGGAUAAGCUAGACUGGGCCGCCAGAUACAAAAUAAUAUUUGGAAUAGCAAAUGGCCUACUAUACCUUCAUGAGAAUUGCCAAAGGCGGAUUAUACACAGAGAUAUUAAAGCUGAUAAUAUUCUUCUUACGGAGGAUUUUGUGCCUCAGAUUUGUGACUUUGGCCUUGCAAAGUGGCUUCCGAAAGAGUGGACACAUCAUAAUGUGGGCAAGUUUGAAGGCACAUUUGGUUAUUUUGCUCCGGAGUAUUUUAUGCACGGAACUGUGGAUGAGAAAACCGAUGUAUUUUCUUUUGGUGUGCUGCUAUUGGAGAUAAUAACCGGAAGGCAAGCAUUAGAUGAUUCACAGCAGAGCCUUGUGAUUUGGGCAAAGCCUCUGCUCGAAAAGGACAACGUGAAAGAACUAAUUGAUCCUGUUCUUGGUGAUAAGUACAAUCCAAAAGAGAUGGAGCGUGUUAUUCUAACUGCCGGCUUAUGUGUAGAACAGAAUCCACUUCUGCGGCCUCGAAUGAAUCAGGCUAUCGUCCUAAUGAAGACGGAAGACGAAUGCUACAAGCAGAAAUUCCAGCGGAGGAGGACAUAUUCCGAAGAACUCAUGGAUGCAGCGGAGUACAACUCGACCAAAUGCCUGAAUGAUCUUAAACAGAUUAAUCUAAGAAGCUCAGUUUCAGAUGUCAACAUAAAGGCCUCAGCAGCUUAGCAAGACUUUGUAAUACAGCUCAUUACACAAUUUAGUCACAGCUUAAAGGAAGAAGAUCAAGGUUCUUUGAGUGCUUUUUAACCCUCCUAUCAGGAAAAAGCUGUUUGGUGCCGUUUGGAAGAUUGUUUAUCGAAAAAGACGAUGAACUAAACAUGAUACUCCUCCGUUUCAUUUUACUCGUCCCAAAUUUCCUAAUUUGUUGUCCCAUUUUACUUGUCAUUUCUUACUUAUCAAGCCAGGACAAUUUUUUUUUCCUAUUAUACCCUUAAUGUAAUUGAUUACUCGUUAUUAUUAGCAUUCUUGAAAAAUACUGCAAAGAGGAGUACCAUUAAGAGUACACCAUUAAGAAUAUAAAUGGUGGUUUAGUAUUA